rnacentral:rRNA from 1 species
AUUGAACGCUGGCGGCAUGCCUAACACAUGCAAGUCGAACGAGUGGCGGACGGGUGAGUAAUGUCUGGGAAACUGCCUGAUGGAGGGGGAUAACUACUGGAAACGUUAGCUAAUACCGCAUACCCUCGGAUGUGCCCUGAUGGGAUUAGCUAGUAGGUGGGGUAACGGCUCACCUAGGCGACGAUCCCUAGCUGGUCUGAGAGGAUGACCGGCAACACUGGAACUGAGACACGGUCCAGACUCCUACGGGAGGCAGCAGUGGGGAAUAUUGCACAAUGGGCGCAAGCCUGAUGCAGCCAUGCCGCGUGUAUGAAGAAGGCCUUCGGGUUGUAAAGUACUUUUAGCGGGGAGGCGGUACCCGCAGAGGAAGCACCGGCUAACUCCGUGCCAGCAGCCGCGGUAAUUC